GUGGGGAAUAUUGCGCAAUGGGGGAAACCCUGACGCAGCGACGCCGUGUGAGGGAAGAAGGCUUUCGGGUCGUAAACCUCUGUCAGGAAGGAAGAACCUCUCAAGGCUGAACAAGCCUUGGGACUGACGGUACUUCCAGAGGAAGCACCGGCUAACUCCGUGCCAGCAGCCGCGGUAAUACGGAGGGUGCAAGCGUUAAUCGGAAUCACUGGGCGUAAAGCGCGCGUAGGCCGUCUUUUAAGUCGGACGUGAAAGCCCUCGGCUCAACCGGGGAACUGCGUUCGAUACUGGGAGACUUGAGUCCUGGAGAGGGUGGCGGAAUUCCGGGUGUAGGAGUGAAAUCCGUAGAUAUUGGGAAGAACACCGGUGGCGAAGGCGACCACCUGGCUCGGUUCUGACGCUGAGGCGCGACAGCGUGGGGAGCAAACAGGAUUAGAAACCCUGGUAGUCC
rnacentral:rRNA from 1 species